rnacentral:rRNA from 1 species
UACGUAGGGUGCAAGCGUUGUCCGGAAUUAUUGGGCGUAAAGAGCUCGUAGGCGGUCUGUCGCGUCGGCUGUGAAAACUUGGGGCUCAACCCCAAGCCUGCAGUCGAUACGGGCAGGCUAGAGGUAGGUAGGGGAGAAUGGAAUUCCGGGUGUAGCGGUGGAAUGCGUAGAGAUCCGGAAGAACACCGGUGGCGAAGGCGGUUCGCUGGGCCGUAGCUGACGCUGAGGCGCGACAGCGUGGGGAGCAAACAGG